rnacentral:rRNA from 1 species
GUCGACGAGAGAUGAGGAGCUUGCUCUUCAAAUCGAGUGGCGAACGGGUGAGUAACGCGUGAGGAACCUGCCUCAAAGAGGGGGACAACAGUUGGAAACGACUGCUAAUACCGCAUAAGCCCACGGCUCGGCAUCGAGCAGGGGGAAAAGGAGCAAUCCGCUUUGAGAUGGCCUCGCGUCCGAUUAGCUAGUUGGUGAGGUAACGGCCCACCAAGGCGACGAUCGGUAGCCGGACUGAGAGGUUGAACGGCCACAUUGGGACUGAGACACGGCCCAGACUCCUACGGGAGGCAGCAGUGGGGAAUAUUGCACAAUGGGGGAAACCCUGAUGCAGCGACGCCGCGUGGAGGAAGAAGGUCUUCGGAUUGUAAACUCCUGUUGUUGAGGAAGAUAAUGACGGUACUCAACAAGGAAGUGACGGCUAACUACGUGCCAGCAGCCGCGGUAAAACGUAGGUCACAAGCGUUGUCCGGAAUUACUGGGUGUAAAGGGAGCGCAGGCGGGAGAACAAGUUGGAAGUGAAAUCCAUGGGCUCAACCCAUGAACUGCUUUCAAAACUGUUUUUCUUGAGUAGUGCAGAGGUAGGCGGAAUUCCCGGUGUAGCGGUGGAAUGCGUAGAUAUCGGGAGGAACACCAGUGGCGAAGGCGGCCUACUGGGCACCAACUGACGCUGAGGCUCGAAAGUGUGGGUAGCAA